AAAUUGAAGAGUUUGAUCAUGGCUCAGAUUGAACGCUGGCGGCAGGCCUAACACAUGCAAGUCGAACGGUAACAGAAAGCAGCUUGCUGCUUUGCUGACGAGUGGCGGACGGGUGAGUAAUGUCUGGGAAACUGCCUGAUGGAGGGGGAUAACUACUGGAAACGGUAGCUAAUACCGCAUAACGUCGCAAGACCAAAGAGGGGGACCUUCGGGCCUCUUGCCAUCGGAUGUGCCCAGAUGGGAUUAGCUAGUAGGUGGGGUAACGGCUCACCUAGGCGACGAUCCCUAGCUGGUCUGAGAGGAUGACCAGCCACACUGGAACUGAGACACGGUCCAGACUCCUACGGGAGGCAGCAGUGGGGAAUAUUGCACAAUGGGCGCAAGCCUGAUGCAGCCAUGCCGCGUGUAUGAAGAAGGCCUUCGGGUUGUAAAGUACUUUCAGCGGGG
rnacentral:rRNA from 1 species